rnacentral:rRNA from 1 species
UACGGGGGGGGGUAAGCGUUGUUCGGAAUUACUGGGCGUAAAGGCUCGUAGGCGGCCAACUAAGUCAUACGUGAAAUCCCCUCAGCUUAACUGGGGAACUGCGUGUGAUACUGGAUGGCUUGAGUUUGGGAGAGGGAUGCGGAAUUCCAGGUGUAGCGGUGAAAUGCGUAGAUAUCGGGAGGAACACCCAAUGCGAAGGCAGCUCGCUGGGACGGUACUGACGCUGAG